CCUACGGGUGGCAGCAGUGGGGAAUAUUGCACAAUGGGCGAAAGCCUGAUGCAGCAACGCCGCGUGAAGGAAGACGGUUUUCGGAUUGUAAACUUCUAUCAAUAGGGAAGAAAGAAAUGACGGUACCUAAAUAAGAAGCACCGGCUAACUACGUGCCAGCAGCCGCGGUAAUACGUAGGUGGCAAGCGUUAUCCGGAAUUACUGAGUGUAAAGGGAGAGUAGGCGGCAAGGUAAGCGAUAUGUGAAAGCCUUAAGCUUAACUAAAGGAUUGCAUAACGAACUAUCUAGCUAGAGUACAGGAGAGGAAAGCGGAAUUCCUAGUGUAGCGGUGAAAUGCGUAGAUAUUAGGAAGAACACCAGGGGCGAAGGCGGCUUUCUGGACUGAAACUGACGUUGAGGCACGAAAGCGUGGGGAGCAAACAGGAUUAGAUACCCUGGUAGUC
rnacentral:rRNA from 1 species